rnacentral:rRNA from 1 species
UACGGAGGGGGCUAGCGUUGUUCGGAAUUACUGGGCGUAAAGCGCGCGUAGGCGGACUGUUAAGUCGGGCGUGAAAUCCCGGGGCUUAACCCAGGAACUGCGUUCGAUACUGGCGGGCUAGAGGUCGGUAGAGGAAAGUGGAAUUCCGAGUGUAGAGGUGAAAUUCGUAGAUAUUAGGAAGAACACCAGAGGCGAAGGCGGCUUUCUGGGCCGAUACUGACGCUGAGGCGCGAAAGCGUGGGGAGCAAACAGG